CAUGGGGAUCCUUUAGGGUUACAUGCAGGUCUCUUGAAGGCCAUGAGGGAUGGGGAUGCUUGCUGACCGUCCUGUGUCACGCAGGUAAUGAUUCUCGCUCACCAAUCCGUGGUCCGUAGCUUCUUGACUCCACCGUAUCAGCUCAGCUUCUCUGACCAAAGGUGAUGUGGUGGAGAGCAUGUGGUGUUCCUCAGGCUCCAUCUGGACACUGUCGUCCUCCUGGAUUUCACUCUGUUCAUUCUGAUGAAUGUACCAGGCUCCCUCCUGUGUUACUGCCUGUCGGAACAACGAAGCAAUGUGCUCAGAAGAUCAACACAUACGACUUCCAGUCAGCCUGCACACAGCAACACAUGUGGGUACAACUGGUACGAUCUGCAAGCCCCUUGGCCUGCAGCAACUAGUGGAACAUCAAAUACACGGCUCCUACAGUCCUAAUAGAGCAGUUAUCUCAUGAUGAGGCUACUAUCAGUAACACGAGCUAACGCAAGGAAAAUAUGCAGACAACACAUCUCCUUCUCCUCCUACUCAUCUCCCCGUCUGCCACACUCUCUCACUUCUUCGUCUCCAGAUCUUUCUCUCUCUUCCUCAACGAAACACUCAACAUCAGCGCCUUCAUAGUUGUGAAGCACUGACUUCAUUUACAAAUGAUGCCCACAGACUUGAUUUGGCAGAAUCGUAAAGAGGUUCACGGGAAGCAGCGCGUUGGGCCGGUCACUGGUCCGUGAGGUCAGAUCUGGUCUGUCCACGGUGGACUGGUCUCUGCUCCAGCUCUUAUAACGCCAACGAGGAGCUCUGAUGCUCCUCCUUACCCCUCCCUCCCCUCGAGACCUGAUUGGUUGUUGGUGGAGUGACCCUGGUUACACGGGAGGGACUGGAUUCUAUUUCAUUGCUCUCUGGCGUGAAUUCGGGUACGUCUCAGCUUUGUUUGAGUCUCCAGGUUCCAGUCGAAAACAUGGGCUCUGGAAGCUCCUGUGAAUACUCACAAGAGAUUUAUGACAGCUGUGCUCUCAAUAUUUAUGAAAGAGCCUUACGGGAAACAUGUAUCAUUCCAGAUGUGGGCCUAGACCGGUCUCUGCUGAAGUAUUCUGGUUUGAACUCCAACGCUGAGCUGCAGACCUACUCCGAUGGUCUGGUCAAUCAGAUUCCAGAAUACGUUGAGAAGUUGGGAUCUAGUUUGAGUUCGUGUACUUUAUUCCCAAAUGCUGUUGGACUCGGAGCAUUGAUGAUUUCCAUGAUCAUAGAUAUUUCCAUGAAGAGCCACGUUGCAACUUCUGAUGAUUCAUACAGCAAGUUCCUGCAGGCAUUUGGUGAAGAGAAGGCCUCAGGAGUCCGGGACACUGUGUCGGAGUAUGUGAAGCGCCAUCGGAUGUACCUGACUGAUAACCGACACCUACAGGGUGAACUAGAGAGACUGGAGAUACAGCUGAGCAACCAUCUCACCAUCCUCAGAAACUCCCUGCUGCUUGACGGACAGAUGAGGAGCCGUGGGUUGAAGAUCUGGGUGAACGGAGCCUCCUUCCACGUCCAGAUGUUGAUCCAUCAGGCUCGACUGAAUCACACGACUGGCAUCAGUUCGAAGGGCUAUGUUCAUGUCAUCCAAGCUGCCCUCACUACGUAUCUACAGGACCUGGAUCAGCUGCUGGAGAAACACAGGAAGGACUUCGCCGGUCAUACUGCUGUCGGUCAUGAAAUGAAUUGCGGUGGUGACAAUAGUUGUCUUUCUGGACUGAUGUCCGUAUGUUCUUUACAAAACCCUAACAUUAUGUGUUUAUUUCAACUACAACCAGCUGGAAAAGACCUCUGCAUCAGCACUUCUAAUUAUCAAGUGUACGGCUCUGGUGGAACUUUAGACCACAACACUAAACAAUUGUCAGAUUCUUUUAUUAAUCAUAUUUUCUCAAAACAUCCACCACUCGCAGGUUUAAAGAGCCAUUUUUCAAACAUCAAGAACAAUCUAAACUAUUACAUCAACCAACAUGAUGAAUUCACUCUGCCAUCAGCCCGUUAAGUUGUUGUGAGGUUUUUCUCUCUGUGUAGCUGAAGUUCUUCUCCAGUGGACCAGACGUGAAGAGCUCACAGGCCUUCUGAAGGUUCUACAGAGAAACGUCAAACAACCGAAUGUUUUCAUCCAAAGCGCUGCAUGUCCUCCUGAACUCUGUUCCUCUUUAAUCGUCCACGUAAUCACAUGAGAGGAAGAAUAAAGAUGGAAAUCAAUCCAACGGAUAGAAACCAUG
ensembl:lncRNA